GUGAGGAAUAUUGGACAAUGGAUGGAAAUCUGAUCCAGCCAUGCCGCGUGCAGGAAGACGGCCCUAUGGGUUGUAAACUGCUUUUAUACGGGAGCAAUAAGGUCUAUGCAUAGAUUGAUGAGAGUACCGUAUGAAUAAGCAUCGGCUAACUCCGUGCCAGCAGCCGCGGUAAUACGGAGGAUGCGAGCGUUAUCCGGAUUUAUUGGGUUUAAAGGGUGCGUAGGUGGCUUUGUAAGUCAGCGGUGAAAUUUUGCAGCUUAACUGUAAAAGCGCCGUUGAUACUGUGAAGCUAGGAUUUGGUUGCUGUGGGCGGAAUGUGUGGUGUAGCGGUGAAAUGCAUAGAGAUCACACAGAAUAUCGAUUGCGAAGGCAGCUCACAAAGCCAAUAUUGACGCUGAGGCACGAAAGUGUGGGGAUCAAACAGGAUUAGAAACCCGGGUAGUCC
rnacentral:rRNA from 1 species